ensembl:piRNA 21ur-3715 ncRNA
UAGAUUGAGUGAAUCGAAAAC